UGGGGCGUGGCCGAGUGGUAAGGCAGCGGGCUUUGAAAUCCUGAAAUUGAAGGUUCAAAUCCGUCCGUCCCACC
rnacentral:tRNA from 1 species